UACGGGGGGGGCAAGCGUUGUUCGGAAUUACUGGGGGUAAAGGGCUUGUAGGCGGCCAACUAAGUCGGAUGUGAAAUCCCCAGGCUUAACUUGGGAACUGCAUCCGAUACUGGAUGGCUUGAAUCCGGGAGAGGGAUGCGGAAUUCCAGGUGUAGCGGUGAAAUGCGUAGAUAUCUGGAGGAACACCGGUGGCGAAGGCGGCAUCCUGGACCGGCAUUGACGCUGAUGAGCGAAAGCCAGGGGAGCAAACGGG
rnacentral:rRNA from 1 species